UUCCGAAAUAUAAACGAUACACAGCCGUAAUCAUCUGUUUAACCUUCAUGUAUAGCUAUGUCGUAUUUCCUCGUCUGUAUAAUAGAGGACAUGCUGGUUCGUAACCGGUUCUUUUCAUACGAUGGUAAUGAAGUUUGCAUAAUGGUGAGAACACAGAGAUUAUAAAUAGAAGACGCGCGUGAGAGAAUUGGUUGUAAAUGUUUACUUCUCGGAACGGACGUAAGUUGGAAUUUAAGAAAAACAGAGGAUUAAGUGCGGUAGUGAAAAAUAUUAAACGUUUUAUAACAAGUACAAUGAGAGCAUUCAAGUUUCUUCAUGUUCUUUUAAUAAUUGUGAUAAUAACGAUAAGCGUGAUACCACUGGGGACAUCAAAAGUGAUUAGCCCGGUUCAUGAAACACCCGAAAAACUUGGUGAGACGCAAAUAACAACACAAACUGCGCCGGUUUAUCCUUAUAUCAUAAACACUCCUGAAAGAAUUGUGAUUUGCGCUGAUGGAUAUAAGAGAGAUCCGCAGGGAAUAUGUCGCGAGAGGGUAUAAUAUCGAGAAAAGCAGAUGUUGAAAAAUAAUCAAAUCCUCAUACAGUACAAUGACACUCGUCUGUUUUUAAUGAUCAUCUUAAUUACCGUCAAUGUGAUAACAAUGGGGACAUCGAAAAAUAUUGAAGAACUAUCAAUGGCGAACACCGAACUUUCUACCUCCAAAGUUUAUUAUACAAUUUCUUCAUUUAGGACUGUGAUAUCUUCUCCAAGACCAAUAUUCUAUGAUGACAACCGUAUCGUAGGUCAUUUCAUAAAUACUCCUUUAAGACAAGCUAUGCAAUACCCAGAUGAACAACGGAAUAGAUUCACACGGAAUAUGUCGUGAGCGAGCGUAACGUAAAAAAUAUAACAUAUGUAAACAACAUGUAAUUAUCAAUUUAAAGUUUACCAAUUUUAACUGUACACAAUAGAUACAAUUGAAUAAAAAAAAUUCUGAUUUAUCCGAA